rnacentral:rRNA from 1 species
AUUGAACGCUGGCGGCAUGCCUUACACAUGCAAGUCGAACGGCAGCACGGGAGCAAUCCUGGUGGCGAGUGGCGAACGGGUGAGUAAAGUAUCGGAACGUGCCCAGUCGUGGGGGAUAACGUAGCGAAAGUUACGCUAAUACCGCAUACGAUCUAUGGAUGAAAGCGGGGGAUCGCAAGACCUCGCGCGAUUGGAGCGGCCGAUAUCAGAGUAGGUAGUUGGUGGGGUAAAGGCUCACCAAGCCGACGAUCUGUAGCUGGUCUGAGAGGACGACCAGCCACACUGGGACUGAGACGCGGCCCAGACUCCUACGGGAGGCAGCAGUGGGGAAUUUUGGACAAUGGGCGAAAGCCUGAUCCAGCCAUGCCGCGUGCAGGAUGAAGGCCUUCGGGUUGUAAACUGCUUUUGUACGGAACGAAAAGGUUUGGGCUAAUAAGCUGAGCUCAUGACGGUACCGUAAGAAUAAGCACCGGCUAACUACGUGCCAGCCGCCGCAGUAA